UGUCACGUCAUCUCAAUACCAUUAACCUCUCAGAAUUAGCUGCAUUGAGCACAGCUGUGGACACAACGAAAAAUGUUGGCAUGGUAGCACUGUCACUCUGCCAUAGACUGUAGCUAUGCACUCAGCGCGUGAGGCACAAAACAAGCCGAAGACAUCCACAGAUUUAAGGCUCAGCUUGUAUAGAUGGUGUGCAUCCUCACAAUCCCUGGCGUAACGUUACAUCAUCACUAACUGAAGAAAUCAGUGUCCACUGCAGCUAGAUGUGCACAAGCCUCUAAUGUGACCGAAACAGAUUCAAAGUUCAAGAUCCACCUCCACACUCAUAUGCAUUGCAUGUUUGAUACCAAC